GGGUCGAUGACCGAGUGGUUAAUGGUAACGGACUGUAAAUCCGUCGGCAAAGCCUGCGCUGGUUCGAAUCCAGCUCGGCCCA
rnacentral:tRNA from 1 species